CCUACGGGUGGCAGCAGUGGGGAAUAUUGGACAAUGGGCGAAAGCCUGAUCCAGCCAUGCCGCGUGUGUGAAGAAGGCCUUCGGGUUGUAAAGCACUUUCAGUGGGGAAGAAAGCCUUGGGGCUAAUACCCUCGAGGAAGGACAUCACCCACAGAAGAAGCACCGGCUACCUCCGUGCCAGCAGCCGCGGUAAUACGGAGGGUGCGAGCGUUAAUCGGAAUUACUGGGCGUAAAGCGCGCGUAGGCGGUCUGAUAAGCCGGUUGUGAAAGCCCCGGGCUCAACCUGGGAACGGCAUCCGGAACUGUCAGGCUAGAGUGCAGGAGAGGAAGGUAGAAUUCCCGGUGUAGCGGGGAAAUGCGUAGAGAUCGGGAGGAAUACCAGUGGCGAAGGCGGCCUUCUGGACUGACACUGACGCUGAGGUGCGAAAGCGUGGGUAGCAAACAGGAUUAGAUACCCCAGUAGUC
rnacentral:rRNA from 1 species